AGUCUCAGUUCAGAUUGCAGGCUGAAACUCGCCUGCAUGAAGCCGGAAUUGCUAGUAAUCGCGCAUCAGCCACGGCGCGGUGAAUACGUUCCCGGGCCUUGUACACACCGCCCGUCAAGCCAUGGGAGCCGGGGGUACCUGAAGUGCGUAACCGCAAGGAGCGCCCUAGGGUAAAACUGGUGACUGGGGCUAAGUCGUAACAAGGUACC
rnacentral:rRNA from 1 species